GACGAAGGAUCCAAGCGUUAUCCGGAUUCAUUGGGUUUAAAGGGAGCGUAGGCGGACUUAUAAGUCAGUGGUGAAAGCCGAUAGCUUAACUAUCGAACUGCCAUUGAUACUGUAAGUCUAGAGUACAGAUGAUGUUGGCGGAAUAUGACAUGUAGCGGUGAAAUGCAUAGAUAUGUCAUAGAACACCGAUUGCGAAGGCAGCUGACAAAACUGUAACUGACGCUGAGGCUCGAAAGUGCGGGGAUCAAACAGG
rnacentral:rRNA from 2 species